ACAUCACUCGAUGCCGUCGGGUGCAAAGCAAGACCUCUUUCGCAUGACAAGUGCACCUAAAGCCAUGUUCCCAUGGCAGCCGUCGCAUGAUUCGCAUCAUAGGCCUGAACAUCAUUCGGCCGAGUCUCUGUUGUUUGGCCCAAUUGACAAUCUCGGGCUGGUCUAUAGUCCCAAUUCGCCCAAGCCCAACCAUCUCUUUUGAGCUCCUUUGUUGGUCACUCUGCCGCAUGACUCUGCUUCUUGACGUGACAUUGCCGGCGCAUUUGCUUGAGAAGCCAUAGUUUAUGUAUUCGGAGUUUAAGCUAAAGCCGUGGUCGUUCUACUUAAUAUUCUGCUUUUGAUGUUUUUUACUACUACAGUUUUGUGCUGUUUCCCAGAUAGGUCCAGCAGUACUCCAGUCUGAAUGCAGGAACUGCUCGACUAGUUGUAUCAGUACAGGGCCUUACCGCGAUCAAUAUGCAUAAACGAGCACACGGGGACACAAUGAUAUAUGCCAUGGAGGCUUUUCUUCAGUGGUUCUGCAACGAUAUCGCAAAAUCGCAUAUGAUUGUCCAAGCUUCAUCAAUUAAAGCCGAUCAGCACAGUAUCUAAGAAUGCGUUUGGCAACACCUUUGCAAAGCCUUUUAGGCCUUUUAGAGAGUUUUGGGGAAAAGAUCUCCAAAGGACCGUAGCUCAAUGCAGGAUGGAGGAGCUUUGAGAAGUAGCAUUUUCUGCGUGCUCUCAGCCAAAGUUUUAAUGAAAAUGUCAAUUUCCCAUCUUCACUCACAGCGUUACCUCUUCUUCCUCGCGCUUCAAGCUCUUCUGAUUGACGCUUCUCUCAACUUCGUCGCUUGUUGCUGAAGAAAGCGGCUUCGCCAAACCAAGGCAAGGAUAUCUCUCUCAACAAAUGUGGAAGAAGAGUAGAUGGGUUGUGUUCUUCGAGGCAAAGAAACGAACUUUCCUCCAUUUUCUCUCUUCUCACUUCCUUUCUCGCUAGGUUCGUUUUGGUCUUCGCCUUCACACUUAAACACACAGUUUUUCUUUUAUAGUAUGUAGAUUAAGAUACUAGAUAGAGUUGCAUUUAGUGUUGCUUCUCAAUCUAGAAUCUCUUGUCUAUUUUGGGUCUCUAGUUUUGUGUGAAGACAAAAGUCAUUUGAAGAAGUGGAGGCUGUUGAGGAUUCAAUGGAUAGUGUUCUCUUUUGAUAUGCUCCGGUGGGAUUAUGUCAGACCAAAGUUAGUCAUUUUGGAUCUUGCUCUGUUUUGAUCUUACUCUCUAGUUUUGGGAAUAUACCUCUAUAGAUAUGUUUCCGUUUUCUGUAAGGUUUGGUUUUAUCAGCUUCGAAUAUUCUGGAACCGAGGCAGAGUAGAUAUAGGACAAUUUGUUUUCUUUGUAUACUCUUUUACGCUGGCUUGGUGAUAGUUAAGUUAUGGCAUUUUCUCCGUGGUUUUA